AGGGCUAUAGCUCAGUUGGUUAGAGCGCUACACUGAUAAUGUAGAGGUCUCCAGUUCAAAUCUGGAUAGCCCUA
rnacentral:tRNA from 1 species